CCUACGGGAGGCUGCAGUCGAGAAUCAUUCACAAUGGGGGAAACCCUGGUGGUGCGACGCCGCGUGGGGGAAUGAAGGUCUUCGGAUUGUAAACCCCUGUCAUGUGGGAGCAAAUUAAAAAGAUAGUACCACAAGAGGAAGAGACGGCUAACUCUGUGCCAGCAGCCGCGGUAAUACAGAGGUCUCAAGCGUUGUUCGGAAUCACUGGGCGUAAAGCGUGCGUAGGCUGUUUCGUAAGUCGUGUGUGAAAGGCGCGGGCUCAACCCGCGGACGGCACAUGAUACUGCGAGACUAGAGUAAUGGAGGGGGAACCGGAAUUCUCGGUGUAGCAGGGAAAUGCGUAGAUAUCGAGAGGAACACUCGUGGCGAAGGCGGGUUCCUGGACAUUAACUGACGCUGAGGCACGAAGGCCAGGGGAGCGAAAGGGAUUAGAUACCCCUGUAGUC
rnacentral:rRNA from 1 species